GACCACUCGCUGUUAAACAAGAAGAAGACGGUAUAUCCAAUCACAUGCGCAUGUUGCUGUGACGUGCUCUUGGAAGAAGGUCCUUGUGAUUUCAAAUUCUCCGUGGAAAAAUUUGGGUUUGACGGCGUUCAAGAGCAGAGCUCUCUACAUUUGGACCAACAGCUCAAAUGGAAACUAGAGCACAAGAUCAGAAUGAAGCUCCCACACAUGGCCUUAUGACUGUUGCCCCAGUGAAGAACCUGAGGUCCAGCCUUCCCCACUCAAGACAUGCCUGAGACAAGAGUGACUGUAUUCCAAGUUGAUCCAAGGUGAUCCUAACUUAAAUGUAGUUCACCGCUUGAAAAAGAAAAAAUACUCAACACUAUUAAUGUUGAAAUCAUUGGUCUAUGGUUAUUACUGUCCUGAAACUACCCUUCACCCUUUUUAUGUUUUUGUAUCUAGUUUUGUAUGUUUGUCUCAUCUUCUGUACCAUAAUUAUGCUUGCACAUAUUGCCUACCUAGAAAUGUAACUUGAACCUGAUCUCAAUGGUUGGGAUGGCAGGUAUGCCAUCCCGCCAAGUUACGCCUUGGCGGGGGCAUGCCCCAUACCUAUACAGCACCGAGAGUCUGGCACUUUUCAGGGUUCCCCACAGAAAUAACCACAACAGCCACAGACACUCAGCCCUUAAAAACAUUAAAUUCUGUACAUUCUGACCCCAUUUCAACAGACAGAAUUCAUAAACAACUUCACAUGUCCACACAAUAAAGCCCCAAACUAAGGAGAUUUCGCGUUUUCUCCUUCUUCUUCUUCUUCUACUUCUUCUCAUUCUU